CUGAGUUCAUUGUUUCAUUGUUGUUGUCUUGUGUGACUGUCGUAGUAAAAUGUCAUUGAUAUAUAUAUGGCGGACAUGACUUUUGUUUAUUCAUAACGAACAUUGGAUUCUGCCAGAUCAAACAGAAAUCAAUAUUCUGAAAAUAAUGCAAACAUCAAAUCAUUUGAAUGCUGCCAUGCUGGAGCACCACCUUUAGUCAAGCAAAUCGACCCCAGGACUUCUUCUUUCUCAGCGUAGUACUUAUUCUCUUAUGCCGAACCGUCAUUUGACAGCAGCCAUGCUGGAGCACAGCCUUGAAGUGUUUUUGCCGAACAAUUCAACCUCAGGACAUUUUAAAAUUCCUAAUGCCUAUUCUAUUGGUUUCUUUGAUGAACCACUAAGUUAUAGGGAUGUAAACACACCAACACUGGUUGUCAAGCGAUGAUGGGGGGACAAAUACAGACACAAAGGUACACACGUACAUAUAUACAAACACACACACAUACAAAAACACAUGCACAUACACACACAUGCAUGUAUAUAUAUAUUGUAUCUCAACUCUUACAAGACACUACAUACUAUGAAAGAGUAGUCAACUACCAACAAACAAGAACAAUGACCAAAUUAAACAAACUCAUCUGCCAACAUCGAAACAACUUAACAACAAAGGAAUGCGACUACCUAACAAACUUUAAUUGCAAAACAAGCAACCUCUAUGGACUUCCAAAAAUCCACAAGAGCAAAACUAUUUCUGAAGCUUGCAAAAAGUCCACUUCCACCUGCAUCACUGUACCACAUCCCACUGAUCUCAAACUAAGACCAAUUGUGGCAGGCCCAAACUGUGAAACACACAGAUUAAACAACUUUAUCGAUAUCCUCCUGAAACCAAUACUUCACCACAUACCAAGUAUUGUUAGAGACAAC